GACGAACGCUGGCGGCGUGCUUAACACAUGCAAGUCGAACGGUGAAGCGCCUUCCUUUUUGGUGGGUGUGGAUGAGUGGCGAACGGGUGAGUAACACGUGAGUAACCUGCCCCCUUCUUCUGGAUAACCGCAUGAAAGUGUGGCUAAUACGGGAUAUUCUGGGUCUGUCGCAUGAUGGGUCUGGGAAAGAUAUUGUUUCGGUGGGGGAUGGGCUCGCGGCCUAUCAGCCUGUUGGUGGGGUGAUGGCCUACCAAGGCGGUGACGGGUAGCCGGCCUGAGAGGGUGGACGGGCACACUGGGACUGAGACACGGUCCAGACUCCUACGGGAGGCAGCAGUGGGGAAUAUUGCACAAUGGGCGCAAGCCUGAUGCAGCGACGCCGCGGGAGGGAUGGAGGCCUUCGGGUUGUGAACCUCUUUCGCCAGUGAAGCAGGCCUGCCUCGUUUGUGGGUGGGUUGACGGUAGCUGGAUAAGAAGCGCCGGCUAACUACGUG
rnacentral:rRNA from 1 species